GCCUCAGCAACGUGGUUUUAAAAUGAGAAGCACACCGGAUUACUCUGUGUAGGUGGUGGAGUGGGAGGAGGUGAAAUGCAAGCUUUAUUUUCCCGACUGCUUGUCAUCCAAUUCCCCACUUCCCUCUGACUUUCAUGAGUGAUGAGGUCAUCCCGGCGCAGGAAAAUCAAACUCCUAUUUUUCAAACCCAAUAAAGGCCCGCAUUGUAUCCUGCGUAAACAGAGGCCAGACGGGUAGGGUGGCAGGAACACGAGCGGCCCGCCCCCUGGCGGUCGCCUGAGGCAGUCGAGCCCUGCACUCCACCAAACUGCGACAGGGAGGCGGAGAGGCUGCGAGCUAAAACGACGCAGAGAUCCAUUACAGCCGCGGCAGGGGAGAGGAUGCUGCAAGGAGAUGAUGCACGCCACAGUACAGCCUCGCUGGCUGGUCCCGGCUUCAUCCGGCCUCAGAUCCGCGUGGGGACCCGAAAGGCAGAACCAUCAUGGGGGCGGGGGGCCUCCUGUAGAUGCAGAGAGGCACUGGCCGCUUCUAACCGUCCAGAGCUUGACUGCCUGUGGACUAAGGUUUCUAACCUAGCUUCCCUAAGUGACUGUGUUACUCAGGCCUCGCUCAGACAGUUGCUGUAAAUAGCUACAAACUCCCUUCUCCCGCAUUUACAGCAAUCUGUGUGAUUGCAUGUAUAAUAUCUAAGGCCUUGAUGAAAUGUCCAGGUGCUCCAUCCAGUCCCUGACAUACUGGGAUACUGGACAUUCCCACUUCCCCCAAUCGGUGGAAGUCAUCUCCAAUAUAUAAAGAAAUGCUAUGCUAUGCUAAGUCACUUCAGUCGUGUCCGACUCUGUGCGACCCCAUAGACGGCAGCCCACCAGGCUCCCCCGUCCCUGGGAUUCUUCAGGCAAGAACACUGGAGUGGGUUGCCGUUUCCUUCUCCAAUGCAUGAAAGUGAAAAGGGAAAGUAAAAUCACUCAGUCGUGCCCGACUCUUAGCGACCCCAUGGACUGCAGCCUACCAGGCUCCUCCGUCCAUGGGAUUUUCCAAGCAAGAGUACUGGAGUGGUGUGCCAUUGCCUUCUCCGAUAUAAAGAAAUGC
rnacentral:lncRNA from 1 species